rnacentral:rRNA from 1 species
UCCAGACUCCUACGGGAGGCAGCAGUGGGGAAUAUUGCACAAUGGGGGAAACCCUGAUGCAGCGACGCCGCGUGAGCGAAGAAGUAUUUCGGUAUGUAAAGCUCUAUCAGCAGGGAAGAAAAAAAUGACGGUACCUGAGUAAGAAGCACCAGCUAAAUACGUGCCAGCAGCCGCGGUAAUACGUAUGGUGCAAGCGUUAUCCGGAUUUACUGGGUGUAAAGGGAGCGUAGGCGGCGCGUUAAGUCUGAUGUGAAAACCCGAGGCUCAACCACGGGAGUGCAUUGGAAACUGGCGGGCUGGAGUGCCGGAGAGGUAAGCGGAAUUCCUAGUGUAGCGGUGAAAUGCGUAGAUAUUAGGAGGAACACCAGUGGCGAAGGCGGCUUACUGGACGGCAACUGACGCUGAGGCUCGAAAGCGUGGGGAGCAAACAGGAUUAGAUACCCGAGUACU